AACGAACGCUGGCGGCAUGCUUAACACAUGCAAGUCGAACGGAAAGGCCCUGCUUUUGUGGGGUGCUCGAGUGGCGAACGGGUGAGUAACACGUGAGUAACCUGCCCUUAACUUUGGGAUAACUUCAGGAAACUGGGGCUAAUACCGGAUAGGAGCUCCUGCUGCAUGGUGGUGGUUGGAAAGUUUCGGCGGUUGGGUAUGGACUCGCGGCUUAUUAGCUUGUUGGUGGGGUAGUGGCUUACCAAGGCUUUGACGGGUAGCCGGCCUGAGAGGGUGACCGGCCACAUUGGGACUGAGGUACGGCCCAGACUCCUACGGGAGCCAGCAGUGAGAAAUAUUGCACAAUGGGCGGCGGCAGGAUGCAGCAACGCCGCGUGCGGGAUGACGGCCUUCGGGUUGUAAACCGCUUUCGCCUGUAACGAAGCGUGAGUGACGGUAAUGGAUAAAGAAGCACCGGCUAACUACGUG
rnacentral:rRNA from 1 species